CUGUUGCUGGCAGUACUGCCA
rnacentral:snRNA from 1 species